AAGCCAUGGUGUGGACCUUUCUAUAAGAGAUCUUUGAAUCUCUCAUGAUCUUCAUAUAGUGUCUUAGAAUCUCUCUAACUGAAUCCUGAAAUUUCUUGCCUCAGUCU